UUACUUGCAAUUACCAAAAGCGGAGGAAAAGAAACUAACAAGGAUUCCCCUAGUAACGGCGAGUGAAGCGGGAAGAGCUCAAAUUUGAAAUCUGGUAGCCUUCGGUUGCCCGAGUUGUAAUCUAGAGAAGUGUUUUCCGUGCCGGCCCAUGUACAAGUCCCUUGGAACAGGGCGUCAUAGAGGGUGAGAAUCCCGUCCUUGACAUGGACCCCCGGUGCUUUGUGAUACACUUUCAACGAGUCGAGUUGUUUGGGAAUGCAGCUCAAAAUGGGUGGUGAAUUCCAUCUAAAGCUAAAUAUUGGCGAGAGACCGAUAGCGAACAAGUACCGUGAGGGAAAGAUGAAAAGCACUUUGGAAAGAGAGUUAAACAGUACGUGAAAUUGUUGAAAGGGAAACGAUUGAAGUCAGUCAUGCUCUUGGGUCUUCGGACCCUUGAGUGGGGUCAACAUCAGUUUUGAUCGAUGGAUAAAGGCACGAGGAAGGUAGCACUCUCGGGUGAACUUAUAGCCUCGCGUCAUAUACAUUGAUUGGGACUGAGGAACGCAGCAUGCCUUUUGGCCGGGAUUCGUCCACGUACAUGCUUAGGAUGUUGACAUAAUGGCUUUAAACGACCCGUCUUGAACACGGGCCCUAUUC
rnacentral:rRNA from 1 species